UGAUUAUUAUCAAUGUUGAACACAGUUGUGCUGCACAAUAUUUUUGUGGAAACUGUGAUACAUUUUAUUUUUCAGGAUUCACAGAUGAAUAGAAAGUUCAGAACAACAGCAUUUAUUUGAAACAGAAAUCUGCUGUAACAUAUCUUCACUGCCACUUUUGAUCAAUUUAAUGCAUCCUUGAUUAAUACAAUUAUUAAUUUCUUUUAAAAUGUCGUACCAACUCCGAACUUCUGAUCAGAAGUGUAUCUGUUUGAUCUCAAAGCAGUUAACAUCGCUCGAUCACUGUGUGUCUGUAGAGAGUGUUUCUGCGGCUCUGAAGGAGGAUGAAGGCGUCUCUCCCGCUCUAGAGCGCCUCCUGCUGUCUGGUGAUCUGUACCGCAGAGUGUUUUCCUCUCACGCUCUGUCUGGGGUCACAGCGCCACCUAGAGGCCUCGGCUCUCUGCUGCAGCUCCUCAGCCGGUAUGACCUGAUCCCGCUCCACACGGAGCAGCAGAAGCCGGUCGAUGAGACACAGCUGAGCUAGAAGCCCAUUAACAUGGGAGCCCAUCUGGCCUUGAUUGAUUCACUGAUGUCACUGAGCGCCAUGGAAACCGUGGGUCGGGUCAAGAUGGUGAAGGAGACGGAUCAGUUCGAGUCCAACAGGAGCUGGGAGAACUCACUGCUCUUCUGGAUCAACAAGGUCAAUCAGAAGUUGCGUGAAAGUGCUAAUGUUGAGGAUAAUCCGGAGUCAAACCCCUGCACAGACCUGCAGCCGGCUCAGCCAUCAAAGGACGGGGCUGGAGCAAAAAGGAAAUCAGCCGUCCUCUCUCCGCUGUGGCCUUCAACAUCCCAUUCCCACUGGACAGUGAUGUUGAUGUUGUUAUGGGCAAUCCUCUCUUUCGUUCCGUCAGCACGGACAGCCUCACCAUGGUAACCAGCCCCGGCCCUUACACACCCCCAGAGAAUCUGAGUAAGCUCAUUGGUCAAGCUCCUCUAGGAGAGUUACCUACCAUAGAAGAAGCAUUGCAAAUUAUUCAUACUGCCCGUCCGGUACACGAUGAGCCCCGGCUGCGGCCAGAGGGAGCUCCGUCUGGCUUUUACCUCCACUCCCCUGAGGUGGGUUAAGCCAGACUGAGCAGCUCUACCCCCUGCUGGUCAGGGAUGAUGUAUCGACCAAUUGGAGGAAGGCCUGAUAGCAGCAGAAACUGCAAACGACCACCUGUUGGUUCACAAGAAAUCCAUGGAGGUUUAGAGUGUGACACACCUGAAGACUCUCCCAAAAC
rnacentral:lncRNA from 1 species